GUCUACAGCCAUGCCACCCUGAACGUGCCUGAUCUCAUCUGAUCUCCGAAGCUAAACAUGGUCGGGCCUGGUUAGUACUUGGAUGGGAGACCACCUAGGAAUAUAGGCAUUAAAUCAGGUGCUAUAGGCA
rnacentral:rRNA from 1 species